GUAAAAUUUGUAUGGGUAUGUCAGCUGUCCCAUCAGCUGUUUUAUUUCGCGUGGCUUCGGAUUGAGGAUGGAUGCUCAAACGAACGUAUCUGUUCUUGAAAUUUCACCACCGAUUCCGUGUGUUUUGAGCAUGGUUUUGAGCUGCGUCUUGUGAAUUUGAUCAAUGCAGAGUUGUUCAAGGAGGAGCAUGGUUUGGCUUUGCUAGCACGUUUUUCAUCUCCGUUAGUCUAAUACAGUAAUACACCCAUUUUGUACCAAAGGUUUUCAGGAUGUACCUGAUGUAUUGUGGGGCUAAAGAAUCAUUCAGUGACUUGGUUCAAUCCAGGACUUGGUUUUUUCAAAAGUGAUUUACAUUUUUAAUUUGCAGAGACUCUCGAGGUACCUGAUGUGUUGGAUUGGCGUUGGAGUAACUUGGUGGACAGAACAGAAUGGAACAGAAUGGAAUGCCACUAAUGUUAUGUUGUCAGUGUAAAUAAAACAUAUCCAGUAUCA